rnacentral:rRNA from 1 species
ACCAGUACCGUGAGGGAAAGGUGAAAAGCACUUCGAACAGAAGAGUGAAAUAGUCCCUGAACCCAUACGCCUACAAGCUGUCGGAGCCGCUUCGUGCGGUGACGGCGUGCCUUUUGCAUAAUGAGCCUACGAGUUACUCAUCACCAGCGAGGUUAAGUACUUCAGGUACGUAAGCCGAAGCGAAAGCGAGUCUGAAUAGGGCGUCAAGUUGGUGGUGGUAGACGCGAAACCUUAGUGAUCUACCCAUGGGCAGGGUGAAGGUUUGGUAACACAAACUGGAGGCCCGAACCGGUAAACGUUGAAAAGUUUUCGGAUGACCUGUGGGUAGGGGUGAAAGGCCAAUCAAACUGGGAAAUAGCUCGUACUCCCCGAAAUGCAUUUAGGUGCAGCCUCUGUUGUUUUGUUCUAGAGGUAGAGCUACUGAUUGGAUGCGGGGGCUUCACCGCCUACCAAAUCCUGACAAACUCCGAAUGCCAGUAGUAUGAUUUACAGCAGUGAGCGACCGGGUGCUAAUGUCCGGUUACGAGAGUGGAACAACACAGACCAGCAACUAAGGUCCCCAAGAGUAUACUAAGUUGAUCUAACGAUGUUUUGCUGCAGAGACAGCUAGGAUGUUAGCUUGGAAGCAGCUAUUCAUUCAAAGAGUGCGUAACAGCUCACUAGUCGAGCGGCAAAGCGUGGAUAAUAAACGGGCAUCAAGUAUACCACCGAAGUUCUGGGCACGAAAGUGCGGUAGGGGAGCAUUCCAUUCCGCGUUGAAGCCGAACCGUGAGGUUUGGUGGAGUGUAUGGAAAAGCAAAUGUAGGCAUGAGUAACGAUAAUGCGGGAGAGUAACCCGCACACCGCAAGACCAAGGUUUCCUGAUCAACGCUAAUCGGAUCAGGGUUAGUCGGGUCCUAAGGGUAAGCCGAACGGUGAUCUCGAUGGAUAAUCGGUUAAUAUUCCGAUACUGACAUAUACCUCGAUGGAGAGACGAAGGAACGUAAGUGCCGCCACCUGACGGAAUAGGUGGUUAAAGGGCUUAGGUAUAGGGGCAGAUUAAGAGUUAGUCCUUGCUGAAACCUGACAGUACAGAGAGCCUACGGGCAAUUUGAUAGUGCACCCAAGUCGACUUCCGAGAAAAUCUUCUAAGUUAUAGUAUAUGUCACCCGUACCGUAAACCGACACAGGUGGUCGAGGAGAGUAUCCUAAGGUGCUCGAGUGAAUCACGGUUAAGGAACUAGGCAAAUUAACCCCGUAACUUCGGGAAAAGGGGUCCCAUCGCGAGGUGGGCGCAGCGAAGAGGUCCAGGCGACUGUUUAUCAAAAACACAGGGCUCUGCAAAUUCGAAAGAAGACGUAUAGGGCCUGACACCUGCCCGGUGCUGGAAGGUUAAGAGGGGAUGUCAUCGCAAGAGAAGCAUUGAAUCGAAGCCCCAGUAAACGGCGGCCGUAACUAUAACGGUCCUAAGGUAGCGAAAUUCCUUGUCGGGUAAGUUCCGACCUGCACGAAUGGUGUAACGAUCUGGACACUGUCUCAACCGUGAGCUCGGUGAAAUUGUAGUCCCGGUGAUGAUGCCGGGUACCCGCAACGGGACGAAAAGACCCCGUGAACCUUUACUAUAGCUUAACGCUGAAUUUGGGUACACAAUGUGUAGGAUAGGCAGGAGACUACGAAGCGGGCACGCCAGUGUUCGUGGAGUCGACGUUGAAAUACUGCCCUUUGUGUACUUGAGUUCUAACCCUCGAGAGGGGACACCGUUUGGUGGGUAGUUUGACUGGGGUGGUCGCCUCCAAAAGAGUAACGGAGGCUUCCCAAGGUACCCUCAGCACGAAUGGUAACCGUGCGUAGAGUGCAAUAGCAUAAGGGUGCUUGACUGUGAGACCAACAAGUCGAUCAGGUGCGAAAGCAGGGUAUAGUGAUCCGGUGGUUCUGCGUGGACUGGCCAUCGCUCAAAGGAUAAAAGGUACUCCGGGGAUAACAGGCUGAUCGCCGCCAAGAGCUCAUAUCGACGCGGCGGUUUGGCACCUCGAUGUCGGCUCGUCACAUCCUGGGGCUGGAGAAGGUCCCAAGGGUUCGGCUGUUCGCCGAUUAAAGUGGCACGCGAGCUGGGUUCAGAACGUCGUGAGACAGUUCGGUCCCUAUCUGUUGCGGGCGUAAGAGAUUUGAAGGGAGCUGUCCUUAGUACGAGAGGACCGGGAUGGACGUACCUCUGGUGCACCAGUUGUCCUGCCAAGGGCAUAGCUGGGUAGCUAUGUACGGACGAGAUAAACGCUGAAAGCAUCUAAGCGUGAAACUCCCCCUAAGAUGAGAUCUCUCAUUCU